GCCCCGCCCGCUCAGCGCAGGGCCGCAGCCGCCAUGGCCGCGCUGCACGCCAAGGCCGGCGGACCUCCGCAGAUCCCCGAUACCCGGCGGGAGCUGGCCGAGCUGGUGAAGCGCAAACAGGAGCUGGCGGAGACGCUGGCCAACCUGGAGCGGCAGAUCUACGCGUUCGAAGGCAGCUACCUGGAGGACACGCAGAUGUACGGCAACAUCAUCCGCGGAUGGGACCGUUACCUCACCAACCAGAAGAACUCCAACAGCAAAAACGACCGCCGGAACCGCAAGUUUAAGGAGGCUGAGCGGCUCUUCAGCAAAUCCUCGGUCACUUCUGCAGCGGCUGUCAGUGCGUUAGCUGGAGUUCAGGAUCAGCUCAUUGAGAAGCGUGAACCGGGCAGCGGGACGGAAAGCGACACCUCUCCAGACUUCCACAACCAGGAGAACGAACCCAGCCAGGAGGAUGCUGAGGAGCUGGAUGGAUCUGUGCAGGGGGUGAAACCCCAAAAAGCCGCUUCCUCCACUUCUGGGAGCCACCACAGCAGCCACAAAAAACGGAAGAACAAAAAUCGGCACAGAAUAAAGCUGUCUUCCCUGCAGUAGAGGAAGAUUACAGUCCUGGUCUCCUGUGAUUGUUCCUUGGUUUCUACAGAGCCAAGGAAGAUAGGAAUGUCACUGCUUUCUCUGGAGAAGGAGGAUGGGAAAACAACUUAGAGUGUUUUGGGGGCUGCUGACUCUCAGUAUCUUUACUACAUUUUCUACUCCAAACCUUUUCUGUUGUCAUGUCCCAGAGUCGUUUGAUUACAGCGUGUACAAGUUGCUUUAUCAUACAGACCACUAGUUUUUGUUAUUAAACUGCCCUGAAACUCACGUGAAACAGCUCUCCUGAACUCUUUAUGAUUGAAUUUAGGCGACCACUUCUAUUCCUUAAGGCGUGCCUUCAAGGCACAGUGGGCUGACGGCCCAGAAAUUGGGAAUCAUUGAAUUCCAAUGCUGUUUUCCCUGGCUCAGUGUAACCUGCACAUUAGGUAUCAUUACUGAGCUCAUUGGCUUUGGGUCCAGGUGGAGGUUCCUCUUUGAGGAGCCUUCCCAUACAAUUGCAAAUGUUUUAAAUAGCAGCGAUAGAUGUCACAGAGACUGCUGGGAAAAGGUCUGAGAGACACCGAGGUAGGUACAGUGCCUGCAAACUAAUUAACUACUGCUUCUUCUUAGUUAGGUUUUCUGUCAUUAGCAUUUUUAAUUGCUAGGUCAGGAUUUUCUUCCCGCAGCAGCCUUCAUCAGGCACACAUCCCAAAGUGUUGGAUGUCCUUUUUGGUUCCUCCUGAGCUAGGAAUCAGAAGCAGUUCAGAAGUGUUUUUUAGCCUGCAGACAGUUGGGAGGAAGGCCAGAAGUAGCAGAGCACAUCUCUAAACCACUUCAGAGAAGCAUCUGUACAACUGAGGUACAGCAUGAGAGCAGAUUGCAGAGCACUGCUGAACACUUACAUGGAGCACGAAGCAAUCUGCUGCAGGACAGUGGGGGCCAGUGCAAAUGCCAUAAAUAAUAUAAACUCUUUUGCUCCAUUACAUAACCCAAACUGUAGUGAUGAGAGUUAGGAAGAAACUGCCCUACUGGAAGCUUGUGUGGCUUUGGGCUUUCUUCUGCAUGCCUUCCUGUGAAGCAGCUGAUACGGGCUACUGUUGGAGACAGAAUAUUGGACAUGAGGAGCCCUGGUCUGCACUGGUAUGGCAAUUCUUAUCAUCCUAAGAGAUGCAUCCAAGUACAGAAAGGAUUUUGCAGAUAUUGUGUAAUGCUUAACAAGGCCAGGUAGUGGAAAGUAAUUACGUUGGUCUGCAAUGCAAACUGUUAGAAGUUGUGAUUGCUGCUAACGACUGUCCCCUAAAUUUCAGCAGAAGAGCCCAAAUGAUCUUCAAGGUUUGAACCAAACAAAAGCCAGUCCCAAUCUUUUUAAUGGCACAGCUCAUUCAGAAGCUCUUUCAUUUCCAGCAUGCAUUUGAGUUCUGCUCACCUGUUCCUGAAGGACUGGGAGGUGCUGGGAAUGGAUGCUCUGAAGGUGCACUGAUUCCACGUAGCUCCAGUUUUUCUCACUCUUGUGCCACCAGUGGCAGCGAGGAGAGUUGGAUUCAGAUUGAGCAGAGCUUGUGUGAAUAGUUGGUUUAAUUCCUGACCAUUAAAGCAGGAGCUCACGUGGCAGUGUUUUAUUGAAGCCACCCUCUGUUCCCUCAGACCGCAGAAGGCCCAGAUGAUGAUUCUCAUGGCUAAAAAGUGUUUCAGGUGAAAACAGCCCUCCUUCCUCUUAGAGACCCAGCGCUGAGAAGCGCCAAGCAGAGCAGUGAGCUUUGGGGCAGAGCGCAGUGCCAUCAGUGUUGGGUGCUGACAGGUGGGGUGGGAAUGCAGCAAGCCAUGGUUGGACUUGAGAGCUCCCAAAGGGAUGUUUGGGUGCAAGGGGAGAUGGGCGUGCAUUGAGGGAGCAUCGAGCGCCUGCGUGGCCACGUAGCUUCAUGGUUGUCUCCACCUCUGCCUGAACAAGCUUUGCUUUGCUCAGUAAUCUAGCCAAAGCCACUGCUUCCUGAGCACCCGUUGGGUUCUGUGAGCAAAUCCGUGCUUUGAUCUGUGAGCUCUGCAGCCCUCAGCACGCAGCGUAACACCGCUCCUAACACCUCCAUCCCCACCAUCCACCUGGGGCUGGGACUCUGUCAGAUCUGCAGUGCUUCUUAUGUUGUUGUUAUUGUGCCCUGUUCUGGUUCCAGAACCUUCAAGUUACCCUUCAGAACUUUGUGGCGUUUUGAACACUGGCUUUCAUUUGUUUAUUUACUUAUUUAUUUGUAGUAUUCUCGCUAGGGUGGCUAAUCGACUAAUUUAUUUAAUUCGUUAGUGUAUUAAUUUCUAUUGCUUUCUUCCUUUCAAAUGCUGCCCCUCAGCCCGUCUGGCAUGUUUGAUUAUGACUUUGAGUAAGUUUGACUUGAAUUAGUACUUGUGCUGUGUUGUUAGUGUGUAGACACCAAUGUGCCUUUUGAGACCUUUCUAACCCAUAGUUUAUCUGUUUAAUUGUAGGUAUGUAUAUUAGGUUAGGCUGGGAAGUUUUUUUAAAAAACAGAAAAGCGUGAUGGAGGUAACAUUUUAUUUAAUAACUUCGGCAAAAUUAAAUUAACUUCACUCUCCUUGACCUCUCUGUUCCGUUUUUGAAGUAGAUCAACUCUUUAACUUAAACGUGUCCUUUAAAAACUGAUUCUUCUGGCUUUGCUUCUGAAGGAGAUCAGUGUAGAUUUGGUUGUUUCCUUCUGGACAUCCAUAACCAACUCCGUACCUCUGUCUCCUGUAAUCCCUGCCAUCUUAAACUCCUCUCUCUGUCCCUAGUAAAUAACCCUUGCCACUAUGUCUGGAUAAUUACCUGUGGCAUAGUUACACAUCUAACAAUGAACGUAGAGCAUGCGUGUGUAACAGUAUUCCCUUGUGCUGCACAACUUCCCUGUGAUUUUUAUUAACUCUUUUCCUGAAUGGAACGGAAUAUGCAUUGUGGCAAAGAACAAAGAAUCCACUCUCCUUCUCUUUGCUGUUCUCUUGUAAUGUUGGGACAGUGAUUUGGCUCAGCCCAAUCGAGAAUGUGGAUUGAAUUAACCGAAUAGCCUUUGUGGUAGCCUGUGCCAUAUUCAGUAGCUGGUUCUUUGCAACCUACUGUUUGUGUCGUGUAUUGAAAUGGACGUUUCUCUUAUCUUUCCAACCACAGGAUUGAUCUCAAGUUAAACAAAAAGCCGAGAGCUGACUACUAGACACAUCAGUGCUGAAGAUUCUGGGAUCCGGUCCUACAUGAAUCCCCACCAAGAAUAACUCCAGUCAUCUGAACGAGCACAGUGGCAGCUCUCUGGCCACGUGUGUGCAGAAGGGAGCCAUCCACUCUAACCAACUCAAGGGGGAGAAAGCCUUGGACAUGUCUUUGCAUCAUUUUUAGACACCCUGACUGACAGGAGAUGAAGGUGUAGUAGUAGAAGUCCUCAAUUCCUGGCUAUUCUGUGCUUCCAGCUCAGUCAGGAGCUUCCUUCAAUUGGCUGAUCUUACUGCUGCCUCUGUAAAACCGUGGGGAGGCAUUUCCUUUCCUGCUGGAAUAGGGCUGUGAUUCACUGUGUCCCAUCCACGCUGUAAGACUUAGGUUCCCUUUGUUACUGAGACGUAGCUUUGUGGUUUUGUUUGUUUCUUUGUUGUUUUGUUUUGUUUUUUUAAACCAAAGUGUUUAAUAAAUGGGCUUUUGGUUUGUUUUAAUGCCUGUAGAGAGGAAGGUUCUUCGUUCUGUGGAACAGCUCAGUUUGGUUUGUAGGUAAGCAGAGAACAAAGUGGCCAUCCAGUUUCUCUGACUUUUCUUUUGAAUGCCAUCCCCUGAAGUUGGCACAGUGCUUUUAGAUGCAGAGGAGGCUGGAGCUCAGAGCCACUUUGCUCUCUGCUAUCUUUGACAUUGGGUAGAUUCUCUUUUUAAUACAAACUUCCCUCAUUUGUACAUAAACAAUAAAAGUCACAUUCGUCUCUCA